ensembl:lncRNA
GUCCACGUCUUCAGCCAUCUUCCUAUAGAGGUGACCCUUCUGAUGCGUGUGGUUCGUGUUUCUAUGCACUUUGGGGAUGUUUCUUCUGUAUUUUUGAGCAGUAAUUUCCUUUCUGAUGGAUUUUCUCUGAAUUUGCGUGACACCAUCUACUUCAAGAUUCAGCUGAAGCUUCUGAACCUCACCUUCAAGCUGUGGAUUUUCAGGCUGCAAAGGGGCUUGCUCAGUUUGAAGACUUUUCCUUUGUUCUGUGGAUUCUUUACCAGCUGAGCCACCAGAGAAGCCCACAUUCUCCUCUCCUCCUAAGGGGAACCUGGAAUUCUCUGGCCUUCCCAGCAGCUGCCAAGGCCCAGAUGCUGGGCCAAGUGGGACACCUAGACAGCAGCGAGAGGGCAGCUGUGGGCUUUCACAUGGUGGCUGUUCUUAGGACAGCAGCUCGGCGGGUGAUCAGACCCCAUGUGAUCCACCGCAAGAGCCCUCCUUCAGGCAACCCCUCCUCUAUUUCCCACAUCUUCAUCCCGCACCUCGUCUGAGAUCCUGGCCUUUGAGUGAAGGAGUAGCCUGUGCAACGCCCAGCCCCAUGGAAGAGCCAAAAGUUUCCACUUUGGGUGCAGGUGGACCCUGCUCAGGCCUCUGAGGGCCCCCCUUGCCUCCGAUCAUGCCACUUCCAAACCCUCCUGCAUACAGCCUCCUACUGACCUCGGAACACACAUCGAAGCAGGCUGCUGCUGUACCCUGACCUUCCCUGGCUCCCUACUGCCCUCAGGACCAAACUCCCUGGCAUGGCGCUCAGCCUGCAAGCCCAGAUCCCUGCCUUUCUCUCCAGUCACGUUCCCCACAGCUCCCACCUUUGUGCUUCUCAUCUCCACGCAUCCCUGCAUUUUCCCAAGUGUACCUCUUUGAAACCCCAACCAGUAACUCGAGUCCCUUUUCCAUCGUAUACAGACUGUUGGACCGUUCUCUUUGUGGCGCAGGGGCCCAUCC